ACGUCGCCUUGGAAUAGAACCUGCUCAGGAUAUAUCUUUUCUGAAAGUUUGGAGUGAAGUUGAACCAUUCAAUGCGUUUAUAGGACCUUAUUGGUCUCUUCGAGCUGCCAUGGGCCCAAUUUUGGAAACAUUAAUCUUGCUUGAUAGAUUGUUAUUCUUCCAGGAACAAGAAAGUUUAGUUGAAGCAUUCAUGUUACCGAUUUUUGAUCCUGCAUUAUCACCAAGAAAUGUUGCAAUAAUUGCUACAAAAGUUAAUACAGAAAUGAUCAACUGACCAAGUAUAGUGGCUUUUUGCUAAAGAAAAGUCUUUCAAUUUACAGUCUUUUAUGAAAGCAUUGAACCUCUCCAUCGAUGUGGUCAUUCUAUUCCUCCCGGCUCUCAUGUGGAUAUCUACAAGCAUACAGUAACUUGGAUUAUUAAUAUUAGCUUUUCAGUGUAUACCAUAAUUUGUGAAGUUUACUCCUAUUGUGAUAUCUUAUCAUGCCGUAACCUCUAUAAAUUUUGGUGAUAAAUGCAUAAUAAUUCAUGAUAGUGUAAUAACAUUUUUUAAUAAUGGAGUGAUUAUCAUACUACAAGUAUGGAUAACUGGAUUUCUGAUAGGAUGUUACAGAUAAAAGUUUGUUUCAUGAUUAUUUGGAAUAAAUUAAGAAUUUUGUGAAUUCAUUUGAAAAUUCACAUUUAAUUCAACUAGAACAUAGUGAAAUCUUGUUCAAAAUAAUAAACGUUGAGUAGCAAAAUCUGAAAUAAUGCAUUUCAAAUAUCACAAAAGUAUCAUUGUGUUACGACUCCUUCGAAGUUUUUUGUUUCUCAUAAAAGUAUCCUUUUCUUUUGAAGGAAGGAAUUAAGAAAAUCCGAGAUUGAAUAAAGCUCUAUCUCCAUAGGAAAGAGCUGUAGACAUAGAGUAGUAUAUCAUUUAUAGAUCAGCUAAGAAUACAUGUAGACGGGAACUGUGAUAAAGAAAGCUGGAGGAGCUACUUGUCAUUUCUGGUAUGGCUGCUGGAAUGAAUUACAAAGUUGAUUUUUCCCUUUCUGGGUUCUUGAUUCUUCCACGAUGGUGAUAGGGAUGUGGCUUUAUAUGCAUAAUGGCAUGAAAAACCUUUGCUGUCAGUGAAAAGAGUCCCAUUAAACCUUGUCCCAGUACAGACAAAGUACAGUUCAACAGAAGACUCUACUUUGUAUGGUUUCAAAUAUGUACUCUUUCGCUCUCAAUCCACUUUGCUUUCUCCUCUAAAGUGACUCAUGAUUGUUCAUGUUUACACCAUUUUUUGUUUAAGAUUAACUCAUCCAUGUUUACACCACAAGACUCUACUUAGAGCUUAGUUUCGUUUUCAUAUAGAGUGAUGUGCUUAUCGUUUUUGAAAUUAUUGGGGAACAUAGACUGCAACCAGUGACUUGAAUUUUGACUGAGUUUGCAGAUAAGGUUCCCUUCUAAUUCCUUUCAUGGAUCACUAGGAAUCUAAACCUUUCUAAAUACCAUUAUUGAUUUCUUCUGUUGAC